UUUCAUUUCGACAACACGCAUCAAGCAAAUUCAUUCCAAAAUCGAUUGUUACAACACCUUCUUUUAAUGUUUUGCUUUUCUGACCAGGGGGAAAUCCUACCCUAAUUGGAGUGAGGCUUCACCAUUGAAAUGCUCCUGUCGGAUAUCACACAAUCGGCCACCUGCACAUGACACAAAUUAUGUGUCCGUACAAGACGACUUGUCAACGACUGUUUGGGACAUUUGUGAAAACAGGAGGACAGCAGCCGAACGGGGCUCCCGUUCAUCACAGAAGAAAGUGAACACGCUCCGAGUCCCUGAAGGUGCUAACUGAACACGAGUCUUUUCCAGGGCAGCACCUGGAGACUCUGUUUGUGACACGCUGUUGCCCAUGGCUGCCUUCCAGCAGUGCUUCUUCAGGGAUCCCAGUAUGUAGAACAACCGCCUCGGAUUCUUCAGCCACGCGCCGCCUGAAACUUUAAUGCUGACACGAGGAACGAGUUGUCCAGAUGUGAACAGGGAAUACCUCCGUGAUACGGACAGUAAUCCCACCUCCUGUGAGUGUUGUACGAAACACUCAAGACAUAGGGAGUGAUGACUGCUUGAGUUAAUUUCUCUUACUUUUUCUGUACUGUUUUGCCAAAUGACAAGUUUCAUACCAUCUGCUUCCUUUCCCCUGUUAAUAAGUUUUCCCAGCCAGCUGAGUGCCCACUCAAUUAUUUAGUACGGCGGGGCCGCUGUCAGAUUCACAUCCAUGCUUCCAUGUCCAUCUCACCGAGAUACAGCCAAGGAUGUUUAUCACA